rnacentral:tRNA from 1 species
CCCUGGGUGGUACAAACAGUUAAUGUGCUCAGCUGCUAACUGAAAGGUUGCUGGUUCAAAUCUACCCCCAGGUG